rnacentral:lncRNA from 1 species
GCUGGGAUGUCUAGUUUCUAGAUCCAGUAAAAUCAGCCCCUUUUGCAAAUGAGCCUAGUGGUCCUUAACAAACUCUGCCUACAUCCAGAGAGGCAAGAUAAUUUUAAAGUUUUCAGUGGCUCGGGAUAUAUUAGAUGACAGUGAGUGAAAUACACUAAUUUCUCCCUCUUUUCUCAUGCAUUUCAUUUCUAGAACAAGAGGAAAGUAUGGGGAAGGAGCCAAGCAGGAGACGUUCACCUUUGCCUUAACUUUGGUCUUCAUUCAAUGUGUGAUCAAUGCUGUGUUUGCCAAGAUCUGGUGGAUCGUACCCGGAGCUGGCUCUAUGCUGCCUGUUCUAUCUCCUAUCUGGGUGCCAUGGUCUCCAGCAAUUCAGCACUACAGUUUGUCAACUACCCAACUCAGGU